UGCAAAUAUUAUAGUCUGCCCUCUUUUGGCCC
rnacentral:piRNA from 1 species